AUGAAGCUUGUUAACUGCAUGCUUAUAAUGCUACCAGGACACGAAGCAACCCUAUGCUGAAAUUGGACCCGUCGCGCCACGCGAAGGAGACAGGUCACCCGAUUACUACCAAACACACACUAGCUCGAAUUCUGCUACGAUACAGGAUAUUAACUUGAUCGCUGCUACGAUUCAAUAUCCGAUCGAUUGAAACUAUCCGACAGGAUGUUUAAAUGCUAUACUUUGUCAUUAAUCGUGAUUCCGACAGGAUGUUUAAGUGCCACCCGAACUCGGGGUGUACUCUGUCAUUCGUUGCGAAUCCGAUGGAUGUUUAAGUAUUGCACUUUGUCAUUCGUUGUGAGGGUAUUAAUCUCGUGAGCUUAUCGUAAAAGUUGUAUGCAGUUAAUUACCUAGUUUCGUGUGCAUUAUCGCUUAAAUUAGGUUAUCAGGCUUAUCAGUAGGCUAAACUUCACCCCAUACACUUACAAUCAAAGUAGAUGCUAAUUCUCAGAAGAAUCUGAAUCAUGAAGCUUGUUAACUGCAUGCUUAUAAUGUAAUUACAGUAGAUUGGAGUAAGAAUUGGAUACGGCACCAACAAGACUUACAGAAGUGGCUCAUUUUAUCAAUUAAAUUAAAUUAAGAAAAGUUGUUUUAUGUAAUCUAGUUUAUCCCAUAUCAAAAGCUACCUUUGUAAAACAUGGGUUUAUCCCAUCUAUUUAAAUAAAUAAAAUCCGGUGUUUCUAAACUCUGAUAUUUUUCCUAACUCACG
rnacentral:lncRNA from 1 species